AUACGGAGGGGGCUAGCGUUGUUCGGAAUCACUGGGCGUAAAGGGUGCGUAGGCGGCAGAAUCAGUUUGGUGAACAAGCUCCGGGCUCAACCCGGAAAAGGCACUGAAUACUAUUUUGCUAGAGGAUCGGAGAGGAGACUGGAAUUCUUGGUGUAGCAGUGAAAUGCGUAGAUAUCAAGAGGAACACCAAUGGCGAAGGCAGGUCUCUGGACGGUUUCUGACGCUCAGGCACGAAAGCUAGGGGAGCAAACAGGAUUAGAUACCCCGGUAGUCC
rnacentral:rRNA from 1 species